GUCCGGAGCCCACACCCUGGGCCUGGCCUCCAGGUGAGGCCAGGCAGCCUCGCCUGGCUCUGGAAGAGGAGGCUCCCGGGCGGCAGCCCCCCCGGGGGGGGGGGGUCAGGCCUGGGGGACGGGUGGGUCCACUAGCUGCAGCCUCCAGCAAAUGACAAAGCCACACCUCUCUUACCUGGAACAGGGGGGAGGCCAGCACUGUCCCACCGGCGACGGAGCAGAGGGGCCCGGGCAGGCCCCCGCCCCAGGGGCUGAUGGGGAGCCUGACAGUGCCUGUGAUGCUGCAAGGAUGUGCCAACAUGGACCAACUCCCUAAUCAUUAAAAAAAAAAAACAAAAAGCCACCGUCUCAAGAAGGAGUUUGAAGACGGGACUUCCCUGGUGGCCCAGUGGUUAAGAAUCUGCCUGCCCAUCAUCAGAAAAAUCUACAAACAACAAAUGCUGGAGAGGGUGUGGAGAAAAGGGAACCCUCUUGCACUGUUGGUGGGAAUGUAAAUUGAUACAGCCACUAUGGAGAACAAUAUGGAGGUUCCUUAAAAAACUAAAAAUAGAAUUACCAUAUGACCCAGCAAUCCCACUACUGGGCAUAUACCCAGAGAAAACCAUAAUUCAAAAAGACACAUGCACCCGAAUGUUCAUUGCAACACUAUUUACAAUAGCCAGGUCAUGGAAGCAACCUAAAUGCCCAUCAACAGACGAAUGGAUAAAGAAGUUGUGGUACAUAUAUACAAUGGAAUAUCACUCAGCCAUAAAAAGGAACGAAAUUGAGUCAUUUGUUGAGAUGUGGAUGGAUCUAGAGACUGUCAUACAGAGUGAAGUAAGUCAGAAGGAGAAAAACAAAUAUCGUAUAUUAACGCAUGUAUGUGGAACCUAGAAAAAUGGUACAGAUGAACUGGUUUGCAGGGCAGAAGUUGAGACACAGAUGUAGAAAACAAACGUAUGGACAUCAAGGGGGGAAAACUGCGGUGGGGUGAGGAUGGUGGUGUGCUGAAUUGGGCGAUUGGGAUUGACAUGUGUAAAGUGAUGUGUAUAAAAUUGAUGACUGAUUAAAAAAAAAAAAAGAAUCUGCCUGCCAGUGCAGGGCACAUGGGUUUGAACCCUGGUCCGGGAAGACCCCACAUGCAGCAGAGCAACUAAGCCCGUUUGCCACAACAACUGAGCCUGAGCUCUAGAGCCCGCGAGCCACAACUACUGAGCUCACGUGCUGCAACUACUGAAGCCUGUGUGCCUAGAGCCCGUGCUCCGCAGCAAGAGAAGCCACCGCAAUGAGAAGCCCGCACACCGCAACGAAGAGUAGCCCCUGCUCGCCGCAACUAGAGAAAGCCCACGUGCAGCAACAAAGACCCAAUGCAGCUAAAAUUAAUAAAUAAAAAAUAAAAUAAAUUUAUUAAAAAAAAAGCCUAUGGUUAAAAAAAAUUUUUUUCUUUCAAUAAGGUUUUAUAAUUUCUCUAUUAUACAUCUUUUAUUAGCUCUAUUCCUAGGUAUUUUACUUGUUGCUAUUCUAAAUGAUAUCUUUUUAAAGUUACAUUUUCUAAUUGAGUGGAGCUGUUUACGGAAAUACAAAUGUAUUUGGUUAUUUUAUCCAGAACGCUUGUUGAAUUCUUUUAUUAAUUUGUAUAUUUUGUAGAUUAUUCUGCAUUUUGUAUAUAGACAAUCAUAUCAUCUGCAAGUAAUGCUAGCUUUGUUUCUUUCUUUCCAAUUCCUACAUAUUUACUUGUUUUUCUUGCACUGGCGAGGAGCCCCAGUACACUGUUAGCUAUAAAUGAUGACUGUAGGCAUUUGUCUUGCUUCUGAUUUUAAAGAGAAUGAUUUCCACAUUUCAACAUCAAUUACGAUGUUUGCUGCAGGUCUUUGUAAAUGGCCUUUAUGGAUGCUAUGGUUAUGGAUGUUUACUUCUUUUCCUAGUUUGUAAGAGUUUUGUUUGUUUUUUUUUAAAUCACUAAUGUAAUAACAAAUGUAUUAACACGUGCAAGGAUUGUUCUAAAUGCUUUACAUACAUAAAUUAUUUUAAUCCUCACAACACACCUAUGAGGAAAGUACUAUUAUUAUUAUUAUCUUCAUCUCUAUAAAUAAGGAAACUGAAACCCAGCGAGAUUAAAGAAGCUCCUGAAGGUUCGAGCUCCGUAAGCAUUCAAGACCAGGCAGUCUGGCUCCAGAGUCCGUUUGUAACACUCUCAAACUUCUCAUCGGAUGUCGAAUUUUAUUAAAUCCUUCAUGUACAUCUAUUGAAA